rnacentral:rRNA from 1 species
GACGAACGCUGGCGGCGUGCCUAAUACAUGCAAGUCGAGCGAAUGGAUUAAGAGCUUGCUCUUAUGAAGUUAGCGGCGGACGGGUGAGUAACACGUGGGUAACCUGCCCAUAAGACUGGGAUAACUCCGGGAAACCGGGGCUAAUACCGGAUAACAUUUUGAACCGCAUGGUUCGAAAUUGAAAGGCGGCUUCGGCUGUCACUUAUGGAUGGACCCGCGUCGCAUUAGCUAGUUGGUGAGGUAACGGCUCACCAAGGCAACGAUGCGUAGCCGACCUGGGAGGGUGAUAAGCCACAUUGGGACUGAGACACGGCCCAAACUCCUACGGGAGGCAGCAGUGGGGAAUAUUGGACAAUGGGCGCAAGCCUGAUCCAGCCAUGCCGCGUGAGUGGUGAAGGCUUUCGGGUCGUAAAACUCUGUUGUUAGGGAAGAACAAGUGCUAGUUGAAUAAGCUGGCACCUUGACGGUACCUAACCAGAAAGCCACAGCUAACUACGUGCCAGCCGCCGCCGUAA